rnacentral:rRNA from 1 species
UACAGAGGGUGCGAGCGUUAAUCGGAAUUACUGGGCGUAAAGCGCACGUAGGCGACUUUGCAAGUCGGGUGUGAAAUCCCCGGGCUCAACCUGGGAACUGCAUCCGAGACUGCUUUGCUCGAGUAUGGGAGAGGGAAGUGGAAUUUCCGGUGUAGCGGUGAAAUGCGUAGAUAUCGGAAGGAACAUCAGUGGCGAAGGCGACUUCCUGGACCAAUACUGACGCUCAGGUGCGAAAGCGUGGGGAGCAAACAGG